AACAUUAUGUUGUACCAUUUAUUCGCUAAUGGUUAAGUUAGAAAGGGCGCACGGUGAAUGCCUUGGCACUAGGAGCCGAUGAAGGACGGGACUAACACCGAUAUGCUUCGGGGAGCUGUAAGUGAGCUUUGAUCCGGAGAUUUCCGAAUGGGGAAACCCACUGUUCGUAAUGGAACAGUAUCUUUAUCUGAAUACAUAGGAUAUUGAAGGCAGACCCGGGGAACUGAAACAUCUAAGUACCCGGAGGAAGAGAAAGCAAAUGCGAUUUCCUGAGUAGCGGCGAGCGAAACGGAAUUAGCCCAAACCAAGAGGCUUGCCUCUUGGGGUUGUAGGACACUCUAUACGGAGUUACAAAGGAACGAAGUAAAUGAAGCGACCUGGAAAGGUCCGUCGAAGAAGGUAACAACCCUGUAGUUGAAACUUCGUUCCCUCUUGAGUGGAUCCUGAGUACGGCGGAACACGUGAAAUUCCGUCGGAAGCUGGGAGGACCAUCUCCCAAGGCUAAAUACUACCUAGUGACCGAUAGUGAACCAGUACCGUGAGGGAAAGGUGAAAAGCACCCCGGAAGGGGAGUGAAAGAGAUCCUGAAACCGUGUGCCUACAAGUAGUCAGAGCCCGUUAACGGGUGAUGGCGUGCCUUUUGUAGAAUGAACCGGCGAGUUACGAUCCCAUGCAAGGUUAAGCUGAUAAGGCGGAGCCGUAGCGAAAGCGAGUCUGAAUAGGGCGUUUAGUAUGUGGUUGUAGACCCGAAACCAGGUGAUCUACCCAUGUCCAGGGUGAAGUUCAGGUAACACUGAAUGGAGGCCCGAACCCACGCACGUUGAAAAGUGCGGGGAUGAGGUGUGGGUAGCGGAGAAAUUCCAAUCGAACCUGGAGAUAGCUGGUUCUCUCCGAAAUAGCUUUAGGGCUAGCCUCAUGUUGUGAGAGUCUUGGAGGUAGAGCACUGAUUGGACUAGGGGCCCCCAACGGGUUACCGAAUUCAGUCAAACUCCGAAUGCCAAAGACUUAUCCAUGGGAGUCAGACUGCGAGUGAUAAGAUCCGUAGUCAAAAGGGAAACAGCCCAGACCACCAGCUAAGGUCCCCAAGUAUACGUUAAGUGGAAAAGGAUGUGGAGUUGCUUAGACAACCAGGAUGUUGGCUUAGAAGCAGCCACCAUUUAAAGAGUGCGUAAUAGCUCACUGGUCGAGUGACUCUGCGCCGAAAAUGUACCGGGGCUAAACGUAUCACCGAAGCUGUGGAUUGACAUCUUAGAUGUCAGUGGUAGGAGAGCGUUCUAAGUGCUGUGAAGUCAGACCGUAAGGACUGGUGGAGCGCUUAGAAGUGAGAAUGCCGGUAUGAGUAGCGAAAGACAAGUGAGAAUCUUGUCCACCGAAUGCCUAAGGUUUCCUGAGGAAGGCUCGUCCGCUCAGGGUUAGUCGGGACCUAAGCCGAGGCUGAAAAGCGUAGGCGAUGGCCAACAGGUUGAUAUUCCUGUACCACCUCCCCGCCGUUUGAGUAAUGGGGGGACGCAGUAGGAUAGGGUAAGCGCGCUGCUGGAUAUGCGCGUUCAAGCAGUUAGGCUGAUGAGUAGGCAAAUCCGCUCAUCAUAAAGGCUGAGCUGUGAUGACGAGGGAAUUAUAGUACCGAAGUUCCUGAUUCCACACUGCCAAGAAAAGCCUCUAGCGAGGCGGGAGGUGCCCGUACCGCAAACCGACACAGGUAGGCGAGGAGAGAAUCCUAAGGUGAUCGAGAGAACUCUCGUUAAGGAACUCGGCAAAAUGACCCCGUAACUUCGGGAGAAGGGGUGCUCUGGUAGGGUGUAUAGCCCGAGAGAGCCGCAGUGAAUAGGCCCAGGCGACUGUUUAGCAAAAACACAGGUCUCUGCGAAGCCGCAAGGCGAAGUAUAGGGGCUGACGCCUGCCCGGUGCUGGAAGGUUAAGAGGAGGGGUUAUCCUUUGGGAGAAGCUCUGAAUCGAAGCCCCAGUAAACGGCGGCCGUAACUAUAACGGUCCUAAGGUAGCGAAAUUCCUUGUCGGGUAAGUUCCGACCCGCACGAAAGGCGUAACGAUCUGGGCACUGUCUCAACGAGAGACUCGGUGAAAUUAUAGUACCUGUGAAGAUGCAGGUUACCCGCGACAGGACGGAAAGACCCCGUGGAGCUUUACUGUAGCCUGAUAUUGAAUUUUGGUACAGCUUGUACAGGAUAGGUAGGAGCCUGAGAAGCCGGAGCGCUAGCUUCGGUGGAGGCGUCGGUGGGAUACUACCCUGGCUGUAUUGAAAUUCUAACCCGCGGCCCUGAUCGGGCCGGGAGACAGUGUCAGGUGGGCAGUUUGACUGGGGCGGUCGCCUCCUAAAAUGUAACGGAGGCGCCCAAAGGUUCCCUCAGAAUGGUUGGAAAUCAUUCGUAGAGUGUAAAGGCACAAGGGAGCUUGACUGCGAGACCUACAAGUCGAGCAGGGACGAAAGUCGGGCUUAGUGAUCCGGUGGUUCCGCAUGGAAGGGCCAUCGCUCAACGGAUAAAAGCUACCCCGGGGAUAACAGGCUUAUCUCCCCCAAGAGUCCACAUCGACGGGGAGGUUUGGCACCUCGAUGUCGGCUCAUCGCAUCCUGGGGCUGUAGUCGGUCCCAAGGGUUGGGCUGUUCGCCCAUUAAAGCGGUACGCGAGCUGGGUUCAGAACGUCGUGAGACAGUUCGGUCCCUAUCCGUCGUGGGCGUAGGAAAUUUGAGAGGAGCUGUCCUUAGUACGAGAGGACCGGGAUGGACACACCGCUGGUGUACCAGUUGUCUUGCCAAAGGCAUCGCUGGGUAGCUAUGUGUGGACGGGAUAAGUGCUGAAAGCAUCUAAGCAUGAAGCCCCCCUCAAGAUGAGAUUUCCCAUAGCGCAAGCUAGUAAGAUCCCUGAAAGAUGAUCAGGUUGAUAGGUCAGAGGUGGAAGCGUGGCGACAUGUGUAGCUGACUGAUACUAAUCGAUCGAGGACUUAACCAA
rnacentral:rRNA from 1 species